ACGUCAAGUCAGCACGGCUCUUACGUCUUGGGCUACACACACGCUACAAUGGGUGGUACAAAGGGUUGCUAAAGAGCGAUCUGGAGCUAAUCCCAUCAAAGCCAUCCCCAGUUCGGAUUGGAGGCUGCAACUCGCCUCCAUGAAGUUGGAGUUGCUAGUAACUGCAGGUCAGCAUACUGCAGUGAAUACGUUCUCGGGCCUUGUACACACCGCCCGUCACGUCAUGAAAGCUGACAACACCUGAAGUCGAUGUGCUAACCCCUUCGCUUGUCGAAGGGGAGGUAGUCGCCCAGGGUGGGGUUGGUGAUUGGGACGAAGUCGUAACAAGGUAGUCGUAGCGGAAGCUGCGGCUGGAUCACCUCCUUUCUAGGGAG
rnacentral:rRNA from 1 species